rnacentral:rRNA from 1 species
GCGUGCGAUCAUACUACGUUGAAAUCACGGCAUCCCGUCAGGUCUGCGCAGUUAAACAACGUUUGGCCGCAUCAUUACCUUGGUUGGUGACAACAAGUUAACGUUCAGUGUCGUAGGCA